UUGGUUUGUGGUUCUGUUUGUUUGUUUGUUUGUUUGUUUCAAUAUUGCCAGAGGGAAAACAGAAGACUUCCCACCUCCCAUGGAUGCUUUUUGCUCCCUUUACCCUGGCCAGGCUCCUGGUCUCCACAGCACCUCUUCCUCUGUGGAUGCUGCCCCCGUGACAGUGCUGCCUGUGUUCUGCAUCCCCCAUCUCCAGUCUGGUCUGAGGCGCAGAACCUGCUCCACCCAGCCCGGCUCAGGGACUUCUCUGCAGUCUGGUCAGGGCUCUGCAGGGAUCCUGGGGUCUUAUUCCCUCUUCUUGCUUCCUGUUUUUCCCGAUGACUGUGAAGGCCAUGUCUCAGCUGAGGUAAAAGAGAAGCUCCGGGGCAGGGAAGGGACUCCCCUCUUCCUCAUGCUCUCAGGAGCCAGAGCUUGAGAUGUCACUGUCAAGCUGCUGUAAAUUAUCCUCCAUGCCUUGGUAAUCCCCAAGGAGGUGAGAAUACCCCAAAGCAAGACCUUGGGCCAUCAGGUCAACCUGAAAAUCAUCCAGGAAACAAACACAAGCCCUCGAGCAACUCACCAGAAACUGUGUCUUCUGUGGUAAGCUGAAAGAUGGACAAGAAGGGGCCAGACCUGCAGGGGACAGGAUUUAAAUUACUCGCUCUGUCCGUUAUGGCUUGUACAUGUCCAGAGCCUGUUUGUGAGUAAUUAACGUGGUUGUCUUAAGCAGAGCUGUGGAGAGAGUGCGAUUAAGUAAUUAAUAGUAAUCAAAGGCACAUUAUCCACAGGCGGAAUGAAGGAGGGAGGAGGCACCUGCCUGUGCGUGCCUGAGGCUCACCCCAUUUUCACAAAGCAGCGUCUUAAUAAAUUUAAUUCAAAAUCUAAAAUCAGAAUGCAACUUUCCACUAGUUUUAACUCAUAACUCUACCACGCUACCUGACAAGCUUAUCUAGGAGCUGUCUUUGCAAAGCUCCUGCUCCAUCCUAUUUCAGUCAGUAAAGAUGUAACCCUUAGACCCUUUUGCCAUUAAUGUGGGGUCUGGCUUAAGGGGAGGUUUGGAACAGGAGACAGUAAACCAACCUCACUCCCAUCUAUCCCCACCUCUGCUAGUGUCAGGUGUUAAGGAUGAGGAGGAGAGAAAAUCUCUGUGUGAGUUGGUUUCUUUUUCUGAGUCACCCAAUCAACAGCAAAGCUAAGACAGGGGCAAGAAAAAAAGAAAUGUGGGGUUGGAGUGAGGAAUUCAGGUUUAGGUUUAACCUCUCUUUGCUUUGAAAACAAACAGAUCAGUCCCUUUUAAGAUGGAGAGAGAGGAAAAAAAAAAAAAAAGUCUGAGCUUUGUAGAAAUUUCCCUGCAUUAUUUGCUGAAUCAGACUUGAAGCUGCAACUAUUUCUUUCAACAAAAAGGGCAUUUUUUAAAGUGGAUUUACCUUUCCAGCUCUAACCCCUGCUGAUCUCCCUUGCCUUCAGCUAUGUUUUGCUAGCAGGAGUAGACUUUACAUGAACUGCCCUUAGCAAUGUCCAGGGAGCUCAUAUCAAGAGAAAAGAUGCACUGAAGAUGCACUACUUGCAAACCCUUUCCCCUUCCUUUUCAACAUUUCCCCCUGCUGCAAAGAGUAGCUGAGCUGUAGAUCUUGAAUUAUUUUUAUGCCUUUGCCCCAUUUAGACAUUGCAGGACAUUAGACAGAACUGAGAACUGAAUCUGCCUCUCAAAGUCACACCACACAGUGUAAGGCUCCCAGGCAUUUUCCCGCAGCCAAAAAUCUCCUGACAUUUCAUAUAUUAAAUCUGUUUACUGAAGCUGUUCUUCUGCCAUAAUACGUUUUCACAAGCUAUAUAUUUGCCCUUGCUAGGGCUUCUUUAAAAGAAAAAAAAGUGUCAGGGCUUCUGGCUUAUGCCAGCACAAUGAGUUUUCUUGAGAGUGAGUCACUGCGUUUGCAAGGCUGGAGCUGGAAGCGGGAUUUCUGUAUCGUUCCUGGGGACCUACCUACAGAGAAAAGCUAGUCCAGGGUAUGCAAGGAUGCAAAAGAAUAUAGGUUUAAGGUGAAUUUGGGAAGAAAAGUAUUGUUUUUUUCUUUCCCACCCUGUUUAGCAAUUGGUGGAUUGCAUUAAAGCCAAAAGGAGGGUUCUGCUUACAGAGUCAGAGGAAGGUCCCCAUGUAAAUGAGUCCACCUGGGAUAAUCAGGAGUAGCUGUUCUGCGUCAGGUAAAGCCUUGGGAGCAGCACUGAGGGGAAUGAAAGACAAACUCCUUUUGCUUCGUGCUCUCCCUCUCAUUAUUAUCUACACAUAAAUUAUUCACAUUCUUUGCAAGCUGAGUCUUGUCUUGACUGAGGGAGUUCAGAUCAUUAGAAACUCAACAAUUUUGUGCAUAUUUCAUGAUAAAGGGAGCUCCAACAGGGCAGGAGGUUAGGAGAAGGAAGAAAAGGGGUAGGAAUUCUUCUGCUGCCUUUUCUGCUCUCAUGAGUUUCCUGAGAUUUCUGGACUGCUGAUACCAGAGGCUCCUGGACAUCCAGUGAGAAAAAAGCCAUGGAGAAGAUGGCAGGACCUCCCAGAGAGGCCAGAGGCCUGAUGCACCCACAUGCAUCAGGGUGGGAUGCUCUCAGGGAGCAUCACCCCACUGGUAAAAGGCCAGAGAUGCUGUGCUGAGGAGUAAGUGGUGCUGUGGAGCAUAAGGUCUCCAUGUGCCCUGCUCAGAUUUCAAGGUAAGUUUCAUUAUAUAUAUAUUUAAUAACAGAACAUGCCUUAAAAAGUUUCCAGUAAAGAGCAAUCUCAAAGUGAACAAGAUCCAUUCCAGAAAAGUUGUUUCAGCAUUAUCCAAAUGCCCAAGGUCAUUGCAGCUUGCUUUUUUUUCACCCCCAUAGUGGCGUUUUGCCAUCAGCAUUUCCACAAAAUGGCUUAUUUUUGAUGAAUUCUUGGUUUCAGAUGGCAAGGGAAGAGGAUCACUGGAUGGUUUCCAAGCAGCUCCAUUACAGAUGCCAACAUUUUGCAUGAGGCCUCUCUCACCCUGUUUUAUUGAUCGCUAAGACAUGACCUCCCAGGGCUGAGUCUGCCCAGGAGCAGGUAGCGAUGGGACCUCAGUGGCCCUCCCCCUCCUGCCUCUGUGUGUAGCUCCACUGCAGCACUCCCAGUUCAGGACUUAGUAGAAAUUUGGGUCUGUCCCCGUCUGCCCAAGCAAACAGGCUCCAAAAUGUACCUAACCUUUCCCAGCCCAUCAAAAAUCAUCCCUGCCACCUCCAGCUCUCUGAUGUAGCUCCAGCCCAAGUCUGGAGGAUACUCUGGAUUUCUUAUCUUGUUGAAUUUCCCUCUUUCACCCUCUCUGGUUUCAGAGCAGAAAUAGGACCCAGUUUAGUGAGGACAUGUGAAGGUUCUUCCCCAUCCUACAGGAUGGUGGCUCAGAGAACCAUGAUUGCCAGCGGGGAGGAGAGAUGCUUGAGCUAAGGGCUAACACUGGCACAGUGGCCAGUGGACACAAAGUGGUUGGGAAAAGUUGUAGGCUGGAAAUUAAAAGGCUCCUGACCACCAGAAGAAAUAUUCAAUUUAAGAGGGGCAGGCAGAGCUAUGGUAUGCAAGAAGGCUUCUUGAAGGGAACGGAGUUGUUGAGUCCCACAAGCUGGCAGAGAACAGGUCAGCUCAGUGCUGGGAUGGGGCUCCCACCUCAUCCCAGUGCCACCAGGCACGUGCCAGACCACGGUGGAGGAAAGCAGCUUUCAUAAGCUGUGGUGAGGGUCCUUCAGUCACUGGUGAAGACAAGGCUCCUCCAACUCCAACCUGUGUUUGAAGUGAGCCCAGCGUUUCUCUUCCCUAGCGUAAGCCUGGGCUGACAUGGGACAUGGCUGCCUGCUGAUGCUGAAACCUUGGGGGAAAGGAGGUCCUGGUGACAUGAGAGCUAAUGAAAUAUUUGCAGUAUACUCUCCCUAUGCGCAAGUACAGAUAUUUAAAAAACAGAACAUAGAUUGGAUAGAUACUUUAAUAUAUAUGUAUAUAUACAUAUGAAAACAUACCCAGGACUUAUUUGCAAGUAAUUACAAAUAGGGAACUUGAACAUUGCUGCCAUCUCAGCAGACACAGCCCCUCCUUCUCCCUCCAAUCUUUCUGCGUCACUCUCUGUUAUCUAGCUAAAAAUAAAGGAGAGUUGGGCACCCAAGUCUCCCAUGGGCAACAGCAUGAUAAACAUCAACUCUUGGUGUUAGCAACCCAUUCAUUUGCUGCCUCAAGAGGCUCCUGUGCUCCAGCCCUGCAGCGAGGCUGGUGCGGGGAGGAGGUGGGGGAUGAGGACAUUACUCAUUGACCACAAGCCCUCUUCUACCAGGCUGUCCCUCAUCCAGACCUAAGCCAAUUUUUAGCUUAAAAUGAGCCAGUACAGGCUCCGCUCAGCUCAGAGCAUCCUCAGAGGUUAUAAAUCCUCAGGCCACAUUGCUAAAACUCCAGCAGGGCUGGUUUUUCCCAAACCAGCCCCUUCAGUGACCUCCAGAUGGGUUUAUGGCCUUCUCAUGCUCCACCGCUCUCUUCAAACACAUUGUCACACCAGGACUUCCUCGCCUGCAAUCACAAUUCGGUUUUCACCCAUUACACCCCAGCAGUUACCAGGGACACAGAGCAGCCAAGCUGAAAAGAAAUACUGAUGCUGAGGCUUAAUAAACAGUUUUGCCCUCCCACCCCCUGCCCCCAACCAGCUUUGCUCUAAUUGAGUUUUACAAUGAGGCAGGAGGGAGAGAGAAGAGGGUGCCCCAGAUGGGUUAUUUGUCCUGCAUGAGGUUUUGCACCUGGUGAGGGACUAAUCAUCAUAGAACUCUUUGCAUCACACCCUUGUGAUGAAAAGAUGGAGAUGGGCAGCACCUUAGGAGAAUCUGGGCUGGGUGGGAAGAUGGUUGGCUUUGGUGCCAGAAGCUGGGAGGAGAUUUUAAACCAUCCUUGCCCUUGCCUUAGAUGUUCUAGGGCUGCUGGAAGUCCCAGAAUAAAUGCAGCAAGUCCCAGGACUGGACUGAGGUUUGUAGGGAGACAUCAGCAGGGUUUCCCACCUCUCUGGGACCACCAGAUGCUACCAUGGCUGUGCAUGGGAGACAAAGACCUAUGCAGUUGCACGAGGAAGACUAAAGGCCCUUUUUUCUGGAGAUGUGGCUGUCACUAGCUAGGCUGGAUGGGGAACACCCAAGUUCUCACUCUAAGAAUGGUGUAUGAGUGGUGGGUUGUUAUUUUUGGUUGUUUGUUGGGUUUUGGCUGAUGAAAUGUGUGUGUGUUUGUUUGUUUGUUUUCCCACAACCCAUUGUCAUUUGGCACCAACUAGCUCUAACAGAUCCUUCCUUCUAAGUGAUCAGGUGGUUUUUUUAGGCUGGCUGGGAAAGAGCAUGGUCCAUCCUGGGAAGAUGUGAUGGGCAAGAAAACAUUGCAAAGCUACAGCAUUGCCAUCCCCCGUUCUGCCUUUAGACACGUUAAACCGGCAGCAGAAGCCAAAGGAUGGGGAAGUUGCCAAAGACUUGAAAGGGCCCCCUUGUCAGAGAGUGCAAGCGGCAAAGGAGGGGGCUUUCCGAGAGCUAUUUAAACAUUAACCAGCAGAACAAUUGCCUUGUGUUCCUGUUUCCCAUUGCCACACUGGUCUUUCGCCUCUGUGUGGGUGGAUCUGCAGGGUCCUGAGCUGCCUCCAGCCCUGGAGAGAUGGCCUGUCCACAGCUGGCACGGUGCUGUGGCGGCAACAGGAGCCUCUGUGCCACCCACUCUGCCUGCAGGACUUCAUUACUGUCCCUGCAGCUGCUGAGAAGCUCAGGGGUUGAGGGUUUAAAACAGGUUAUUAACUUCCCUCUUGCAGCCAUAACCUGGAGGAUACAGCUGGAGGGUUUCAGAGAGCCACAGCUCAUAAAAUAAAGUUCAGCUGAAUGCUGAACAGAGGCACUCAGCCCUGACACUGUUCUGCCCACAGGGCAAGCAGGAGCACCUGGUCCUGCAGCAAUCUUCCCCCACUCAAGCACCAUUCAACCCUUUUCCUCACCAUGUAGGGGACAAUCCUGCAGCUUUAACAUCUUCAGUAUGGCGAUCUGAGUAUCACACCACCACCACCAAUUUAUUUCUUUAGCCUUGGGAGUAAGCAAAAUGCUGGUGACCUUCUUUUACACACGUGGAAAAAAAACAUGGGGGCAUCUAAAGUGACGUGACCAGGGUUACGCAGGAGUCGGUGGCAGAGAGUGAAGAACUGCAUUGAGACCUAACUUUGUGUCCUGCUCUCUUUUCCAGUACUGAAAUACAGACUUGAAAGUAAUGCCAGGUGGGAUCAGGACCUUCAGGUGUGCCUGUCUCCCUGGACACCAACUUUUGGGAAUACUCCAGCCUCAGCACUGCGGGAUCACAAGAAACUUUCAAGUACCAGCGUUGGAGGUGAAGACAAAGCAAAGAAAACCCAAGGAAGCGAGAACAGAGCCACCUGAACUGAUGGGACCAGCCCACUCAGUGCACAAGUCAGGACUCGUGUUGGGAACUCAAACCCCACAAGAAGAGAAAUACUACUUGGCUGCAGCAUUUGUUUCCUAACGAAAAGAAAAACAAAACAAAACGCUAUUUGGAAGGUGUCACGCUCAUUGCUGCAAGUUUGGAUCACCCCAGCUGGAGCAAAUAGCACCUUGGAGCACGCCUCUCUGCCUGGACACAAUAAAAACCUACUCGGCGCUUCACUGUGGAAGAUGGCACAACUGAGCUUUUGAGAAGGGGGACUCCUGGACAAACCCCCAAAGCUUCCAGCAGCGUUACACAAACCCCACGCCCUCCCCCCCUUUUAUUUUUUUUAUUUAUUUUUUUCUUUUUUUAAGCAAAUA
rnacentral:lncRNA from 1 species